rnacentral:lncRNA from 1 species
UGAUAGGCUGAUACAUGAUACGCGCUUGCUGGUGGCUUAUACGCGGCUGGCUGCCGCGUAUUAGCCAGGAAGUUACCAAGAAGUUACCCAUUUGAAUGGAAGAAGGAAAGAAGGUGAAUGGGGGAUCGAGGGCUCGUUUCUUUGUCAGACGCAAUUCAGUGAAGCCAAGGAAAGCACAGGGGACAUUAUUAGUAGUUUUUAACUGUAGUGUAGUAAUCACGGCAUAAAUGAAAAUGAAUUAAAGUGGACGAAUGAACAACUUGCCGUCGGUGUGGACCUAACCCGCUACCUUCUAAAUGCGAGUCCGAUAGCUCUACCAAUCGAACUACGACGGCGGUCGUUCCCCCGUUCAUUCUAUUAGGUACUUCUGUGCCUGUGUUACGAAGUGUUAGAAGGACGCACAGUUUAAAGGUUGAGGGUUCGGCCCCCACCGAAGGCUAGCUGUUUUUAAUUUCGUCCACUGUAAUUAAUUUCCAUUUAUGCCAUACUACCAACGCUACAGUUAUAAAACUGCAAAUAAUGGCCCCUGUGCUUUCCUUGGCUUCAUUGUCCACUGGCUUCAUAAGGUUGACUGGAAGUUAUGGUUAUAGAUAGCUUGCGUCCACUUUAGCACGACGCGUGCAGCUGCGGCGCAUCUGCUCCACGAAUUCCCACAAUACUAGCAGCCCUCGAUAAAGAAACUCUGCGCAGCUGCUUGAACUGGCUGGAUAGGCGUCCCUCUUGCUUGGUCAAGGUCCGCGGUCCGUAGUCGUCCACCGAACAGAUAAGGAGAAGCAGUCACAACACUUCGUGGCAUUCUGUACCAGAUAAGGCUGUACUCCUCGAAUACCAGGUCUUCUACUAAAGAAAAAGUUGAGUAAGACAACCGCGGUUCUCGCGCAAGAGCAGUCACGCUUAACCCGGCAGGCCAUAGACGCCACCAGGGCUCACGGGAUCAUGGCCGACGUCUAGGUUCACUUUUUCCCUCCACUGCAAGAGGGAGAGGGGGACCUUUCGGCGAAUUAAAGUUUGUUCAUCCCCAUCAUCACCGCAAAGCUGGCGCAGUUGGGUCAGCGAACCGCUCGUGCUCAGCAGUUAUAGGAUGCCAGAAGAGACGCGAAAAAGCUUUGAGACGCUGCGCCGUCGGUGUAUAUAGUCGAUCGAACUUUUCAUUUCUGUUCAGCAUCAA